AGAGGAGGAGGAGAGAAGAGAAGGAAAAAGUUAAAAAGAAAACAAAAAAGUGUUGUUGUGCUGAUAUUGCAUGAUUGAGAGAAAUAGAAGAGAAGAAGAGAGAAGAAGGAGGAGAGAAGAGGAAAAAGAAAAUAAAGAGAAGAAAAACAUAGGUGCUGUGGCAUACUUGAGAGAAGGGAAGAAUAAAAGAAGAGAGGAGAGAGAGGAAGGAAGAA
rnacentral:misc_RNA from 1 species